rnacentral:rRNA from 1 species
UACGGAGGGGGCUAGCGUUGUUCGGAUUUACUGGGCGUAAAGAGCGCGUAGGCGGUUUGUUAAGUUAGAAGUGAAAGCCCAGGGCUUAACCUUGGAAUUGCUUUUAAAACUGGCAAACUAGAGAGCGGUAGAGGACGGUGGAAUUCCUAGUGUAGAGGUGAAAUUCGUAGAUAUUAGGAGGAACACCGGUGGCGAAAGCGGCCGUCUGGGCCGCAUCUGACGCUGAUGCGCGAAAGCGUGGGGAGCAAACAGG